rnacentral:sRNA from 3 species
AUAUCUCUCCGUACGGGAAGGAUGAGAAGCUUCGACUAAGGUUCGAUUCGAGCGAAAGCGAGAAAGCGUUGCCGCAGGCAACGACCCGAAGGGCGAAGGGCGAAGGGCGCAGCGCUGAGUCAUCCUUCCCCCACCACCA